rnacentral:rRNA from 1 species
GGUUUUGAAUGGGGGGGCAACCUGAUCAGCCAUGCCGCGUGAGUGAAGAAGGCCUUCGGGUUGUAAAGCUCUUUUGUCAGGGAAGAAAAUGUUCUGGCUAAUAUCCGAAGCUCCUGACGGUUCCUGGCCAAUAACCGCCGGCUAACUACGGGCCCUCACCCGCGGUAAUAUUUAUGGUGCUAGCGUUAAUCGAAAUUACUGGGCGUAAAGCGUGCGCAAGCGGUUGUGUCAAACCUAUGUCAAAUCCCCGGGCUCAACCUGGUAAUUGUGUUUGAGACUGCUGGAAUUCAGAGUGUCAAAGGGGGGUACAAUUAUAUUCGUAACAACGAAAUGGGUAAAUAUGUGGAGGAAUAUCAAUGGUGAAGGUGACCCCCUGGAAUAACACUGACACUCAUGCUUAAAUACCCGGGGAGCCCACAGGAUUAAAUACCCUGGUAGUCCACGCCCUAAACGAUGUCUACUAUGACGUCGGGUCUUAAUUGACUUGGUAACGCUGCUAACGCGUGAAGCAAAACGCCUGGGGAGUAAAUUCACGGAAUUAAAACUCAAAGGAAUUGACGGA